rnacentral:rRNA from 1 species
CAGCAGCCGCGGGAAUACAGAGGGUGCAAGCGUUAAUCGGAAUUACUGGGCGUAAAGCGCGCGUAGGUGGUUUGUUAAGUUGAAUGUGAAAUCCCCGGGCUCAACCUGGGAACUGCAUCCAAAACUGGCAAGCUAGAGUAGGGCAGAGGGUGGUGGAAUUUCCUGUGUAGCGGUGAAAUGCGUAGAUAUAGGAAGGAACACCAGUGGCGAAGGCGACCACCUGGGCUCAUACUGACACUGAGGUGCGAAAGCGUGGGGAGCAAACAGGAUUAGAUACCCCGGUAGUCCCUGUCUCUUAUAC